GUUACUAAAAAAAAAAAAAGAAGGAGCAGAACAUUCAAAAAUAUCCUCGUUAUUUUAACCAAAAAUUUUUACAGCAGAAUCGGCGAUAAAAUUACAAAUAAUUUUGCAUUGGGAAAAAUUUCGGGGAGAAUGAAAGAUUAUUAUCUGUUGCAACUUGUUAAUAUUCAAUCGUAUUUUAUCGCGCUUGGCGAGUGAUCGCCUUGGCGGAGAAGUCCGGGCGUGGUGUAGUUUACUAAAAUGAGCAACUGCGACGUGGUUCUCUCUGGCAGUAAUGCGCGACACUAAUGGUGCAUAAUUGACAAAAGUUCACGAUAAAUGCAAUACACUAUGUCGCGAGAUGCAAAGCAGACGGGCAGCGAUUGUACAUUCUGCCUGUGUUACGAACGAGAGUAGCUCGUAAGACUAUAGAACAAUAAGAUGCUGGAUAAAGAAAUUCUCAGAUGCAAACAGAUGUAGUACGAGUGCGUAAGAAGUAUGUGAGCAUCGAAUGCAAUGUGAUAUGAAAUUACGUCACACGUUCUCUCCUGUGAUGCAACACGUUCUCUCCUGUGAUGCAACACGAUGCAAUUUUCGUUUCACGUUUAGCUACGAGAAGACUUAGGAAGCGGAAAUUAAACUACGAAGGAUGAAUUCAUUAUUCUCAAAAUCAACAAUUUAUAACGACGCCGUUCUUCGAUACUAAAUGUAAAGUGAAUACUAUAUUAUUCCACGCUAAAAGUAACGAGAUGAAAGUUUUCCUCCGCUCUCGGAAACGAAUCGAGAUUUAAAUUUCUAAAAUCGCACGACGAAUAUGCUACGAUAGUCUUUGCAUCUUUUGGAUUAACAUAUAAAGUUUUCUCUACAAAGAUGGCGAGCGAUGAAGGAAACGAGAGCGAACGUGAGAUUACAGAUUAAGAGUAUAUUCUCGCAUUUUGUCGCGAAUCUUUCUUCUUUGCGUGAUAUUGCGCCGCAAAGAAUACAGUAAAGUAAACAGGAAAAAAAUGACAAUGGAGGAAAGACAUAUGAGGCUAGGCAGCAAGAUAAAAAAGGAAGCCGCGCAAGAGUGGAAUAGAAGACGAUGUUGCGGAAAAAAAAUCCGUGAGAGAAGUGAGGGAUGCAAGAAUAAUGCAAGGGGACGAAAGACAUCGACCUUGAAACGAGUCAGUUCGCUCGCCGACGUGGAACUAGGGCGAUCGACGAUGAAUCUUCAAAGAGAAGCGUCCUGUCGCCCAACAACGACGACGACGACGACGACGGCGGCGACGGAGAUGCGCUUUAAAUACCCGCUCGUUCUUGCCGACACACGGCUCGCUUACUCGCCACGCGAGCCUGUGACGUUAGCCUAAGGGCGCUUUUCUUCCUUACCCGCCCGACUACCCCGUGAUAUCUCAUCGUACUCAAUUUAUCACCUUCCGAGCGUCGAUGAUGCCCCUCGUUUUUUUUCGUUGCCAUCGAAAAUAGCCUCCUGUUAUCCAAGUUAUUUUUCGAUCUGGAGGAAACUCGUGGGCGAACUAAUCGAAGAAGCACUAUCACAAAAGAAAAAAAAAGAGAGAAUGAGAGAAGCUUUAACCGAGAUAAUGUAUCUUACAAAAUGGGUAUGCUUUUGAGCGCGCAAGUCCUACGCGCGGAGAAUCCUGUGAUCUCGUUGCGCCCGAUUUCUUUAUAGCAUAGCAUUGCGCAUCACGCGGUAGGUCAUAAAGCGUAGUGUUUCCGCACUUUGCGUAGCGGACUCUACCCUAUCCUACUUGUAUUGUUGCAACGCCAAUAUGUAACCAAUCGCAAACGUGAGCCGUAUAUGCCAUUGUAUACAUGUACAUAUACAUAUAUGUGUAUAAUGUGAUGCAGCAAACACAGAACUGUCGGCUACUGCUGCUGCGAGUGGGCCGACUCUUAUCACCGAGAGCUAUUAUUAACCCUUAAACUGACAAUGAGUAGCCGGCUUUCCGGCUAUAUAUUAGAAUAUUGUCCCUAUCGAAAUUGCCACAAGGAUAUGACCUUCGUUAAACCUUCAGUCGAAUCAUUGCAAACUAUUGCAUGGAACAUAAGAACAUAGCUUGUAAACUUGUAAACUCAUAAAUUUGAGAAAAAAAUUUAAAAUAAAUGUCAAAUGUUUUAAACAACA